AGAGCUGAGUCACGGCCGGGAAACAGGAGCACGGAGACUCCGAGAAGCAUCUGAGAAGCGUGCAUUCUCAGGCUCUGGUACCUAAUCACUGCAUUGUGUGGUUGAUAUCAGAAGCAACUAUGAGACCAAAACAGGAACAUGAACAAUACACCUCGCAAGUUAAUGGGAAACUAAAACAGGAAAAAUACACCUUGCAAGUUAAGGAUUCCAUUUGCAAUUAAGACAGUUAAGAAUAUGUUCCGGUGGGGCUGGUGAGAUGACUCAGCGGGUAAGAGCACUGAUUGCCCUUCCGAAGGUCCUGAGUUCAAAUCUCAGCAACCACAUGGUGGCUCACAACCACCUGUAAUGAGAUCUGAUACGUCUUCUGUCUUCUGGUGCGUCUGAAGACAGCUACAGUGUACUUAUGUAUUAUAAUAAAUAAAGCUUUGGGCCGGAGUGAGCA
rnacentral:lncRNA from 1 species